rnacentral:rRNA from 1 species
CCGGAGAAUGUUAUCACGGGAGACACACGGCGGGUGCUAACGUCCGUCGUGAAGAGGGAAACAACCCAGACCGCCAGCUAAGGUCCCAAAGUCAUGGUUAAGUGGGAAACGAUGUGGGAAGGCCCAGACAGCCAGGAUGUUGGCUUAGAAGCAGCCAUCAUUUAAAGAAAGCGUAAUAGCUCACUGGUCGAGUCGGCCUGCGCGGAAGAUGUAACGGGGCUAAACCAUGCACCGAAGCUGCGGCAGCGACGCUUAUGCGUUGUUGGGUAGGGGAGCGUUCUGUAAGCCUGCGAAGGUGUGCUGUGAGGCAUGCUGGAGGUAUCAGAAGUGCGAAUGCUGACAUAAGUAACGAUAAAGCGGGUGAAAAGCCCGCUCGCCGGAAGACCAAGGGUUCCUGUCCAACGUUAAUCGGGGCAGGGUGAGUCGACCCCUAAGGCGAGGCCGAAAGGCGUAGUCGAUGGGAAACAGGUUAAUAUUCCUGUACUUGGUGUUACUGCGAAGGGGGGACGGAGAAGGCUAUGUUGGCCGGGCGACGGUUGUCCCGGUUUAAGCGUGUAGGCUGGUUUUCCAGGCAAAUCCGGAAAAUCAAGGCUGAGGCGUGAUGACGAGGCACUACGGUGCUGAAGCAACAAAUGCCCUGCUUCCAGGAAAAGCCUCUAAGCAUCAGGUAACAUCAAAUCGUACCCCAAACCGACACAGGUGGUCAGGUAGAGAAUACCAAGGCGCUUGAGAGAACUCGGGUGAAGGAACUAGGCAAAAUGGUGCCGUAACUUCGGGAGAAGGCACGCUGAUAUGUAGGUGAAGUCCCU